rnacentral:lncRNA from 1 species
CUUGGAUUGUGUGGUGUGGAGGUGGGGUGGGUUGCAUCAUUCAGGUAGCUAUAUUAAGAAUAUUAAUAACAAUAAUCCAUCAGCAUCAUGAUAAGAUCUUCAAAAUUGGACUAUGUGCAUUGCUACAAAUUCCUUGGAAAUGGCUAGCUGCUGUUCAAAUAUAUGCUUGGUGCUCCCAACAAAAAUUCCUCAGGACAAGCACUAAUACGUCCACUUGUUGUGCAAUAUCCAUUCUUGGUGUAGGAAUCAAGGUUGUAGGUAUGGAGUUGAGAAUUACUUUUAUUAUGAAGAGCUUUAAACCAUUUUCAUUCCUUUUAUUAUUACCUGUUUACAGGAUUUGUUCAGCUGUGUGGAUACUGUACAGAAAUAAAAUUACCCAUAUAUAUAUAUAUAUAUAUUUUAACUAAUCUUGCCCAUAAAUGAGACUGCAUAACACUAACAAGGCAAAAAUUAAUAGUUUUAACUUAAGAUAUGUGUAAAAUGUUAAGUUUUGAAUUAAAUUUCGUUCAGAGAAAUAGUAAUCCCUCCCCAUUCUUGAAAGAACACUAGAGACCAAGUUUUCUUACCCCAGGAUCAGUUGUGAUAUACAUAUUGAUAAAGUGGCUUAGAAGCCUUUGAAGGGAUGUUGGGUUUAAUGCAUUGUUUGCUGAGGGAGAUAUGGACAAGGGACCUGAAUGAAACAUUCCAUUCCUACAGCAAGUUUGGCAAGCUACUGUCAGUAGAUCUCAUUUGUUGAAUUCUGAAUUUGGUGCUUGUCACAAGAACAAGAAACUUUAAUAUAUGUUGAGAAGAAAGAAAAAAUCUCUUUUUAAAUCUAAAAUUUGAUUAGAUUCAUUUACUUUGUAUACACAUUGAAUUUUUGGUUGUCUUUUCGUUAAUAUACUACUGUGGUUUAUAAUUACAAAUAAACUAUAGUAUUUCAUUAAAACCUAUAAAAUUACCUAAAAUCUAAAGCUUAUUGAGAAUGAUAAUGAAAAAAGAAUGAAAAAAGAAAUAAAAAAACGAGGGGUUUGAUAUACCUUAGGUCCUUUAAUUAAUCUUAUCAUAUUUUAUCAUAUUUGAAAAACCAUUGAGAGAUUUUAAAUAUAUAAGCAGUUGCUAUGAUAUUUCAGUACUUAACAUGAUAAGCAUUGAUAUUUACUUCGAAUUUAUUGCUGAUUAAAUCGUCUUCAUUUUUUUUUUUCAUUCUCAUAUUCCAGUUUUGUCAGGUGUUUAUGCACGCACUUAAGAACCCAACUAUGUGAUUUGAAAGUGACAAACUUUGGAGAAGCAUGCAGAUUAUUUUUUGAUAAUGAAAAGUUUCACUUCAAUGUCACUGCUGGAAACGAUUAAUCAUGUGUGUGGGAUGUUCAUCCGCCAAAUUAAAUCACCCAUCUUCAGGCAACCUGAAUUGAAUAAUAAUGGAAAAAACACACAUUGGUGUCUGUGUGUGCAUGUUUUGCAUUUGUACAGAGAGGUAAGAAACAACGAUGUCGAUGCCGCUGAUAAUAGUCGAGGUGCAUUGGAUUCCUGAAUUUCACGUUGGUGGAGUAGGGGUGCAUGAGAAGGAGAUGGAGGGAGGAAGGAGCCCAAGGCAAGGUCCUCACUCUGGACCUGUUUGUUGCUCCGACUCAAGGAAUGAAGGAAGGGGAAGGGAAG